UUACAUUUCUUAUCACUCUCCAAUUUGGAGCAUAUCUUUCAUGCAACUAUUUGAGCUAAAUCAUUGAUAAGAUCAUGCAUCACGAAUCGGGACUUAUCUUUACUAGAUGUCUGAAAAAAUGACCUAGACACUAGAUCUUGAAAAUAUUGAUUUCCAAGAUCUUUAAUUUGAGGCAUAGCAUUUUGUUGCAAGAGACCACCUGCUCUCCAUAACAAGGUGAUUUCUUCUUCCUUAAAUUCAUAAUCUUUAGGAAGUAUGGAGCAAUAUGCAAAACAUCGUUUCAAGUAUGAUGGAAGAUGAUGGUAGCUUAAUCGCAAAGCUGGAAUUAUGCCACACUGCUCUUCUGGUGAAUCCUCAUAUGUAUUUAUGAAGGGAAUUGUGCAUCAAAUUGCCCUGUUGAUAUAUCUGCGUUGUACUUUUUGAUACAUUAUUCAUCUGACAUGUACUUAAAUAAACUUGCAAAGAAUAGCUACGUUUUAGUAAAAUGAAGGGAUUGCUAAUUCAAAAAUACAGAUUAAGUGCAAAGAUUGAUUA